rnacentral:rRNA from 1 species
GCAAGUCGAACGGAACUAAUUGGAGCUUGCUCCGGUUGGUUUAGUGGCAAACGGGUGAGUAACACGUGGGAAUCUACCCAUCAGUACGGAACAACAUUUGGAAACAGAUGCUAAUACCGUAUAUUCUCUUCGGAGGAAAGAUUUAUCGCUGAUGGAUGAGCCCGCGUUAGAUUAGGUAGUUGGUAGGGUAAUGGCCUACCAAGCCUACGAUCUAUAGCUGGUCUGAGAGGAUGAUC